CCCAGACUCCUACGGGAGGCAGCAGUGAGGAAUAUUGGUCAAUGGCCGCAGGGCUGAACCAGCCAAGUCGCGUGAGGGAUGACGGUCCUAUGGAUUGUAAACCUCUUUUGUCAGGGAGCAAAGGGCGCCACGUGUGGCGUUUUGCGAGUACCUGAAGAAAAAGCAUCGGCUAACUCCGUGCCAGCAGCCGCGGUAAUACGGAGGUUGCGAGCGUUAUCCGGAUUUAUUGGGUUUAAAGGGUGCGCAGGCGGAAUGUCAAGUCAGCGGUAAAAUUUCGGGGCCCAACCCCGUCGUGCCGUUGAAACUGGCGUUCUUGAGUGAGCGAGAAGUAUGCGGAAUGCGUGGUGUAGCGGUGAAAUGCAUAGAUAUCGCGCAGAACUCCGAUUGCGAAGGCAGCAUGCCGGCUCCACACUGACGCUGAGGCACGAAAGCGUGGGUAUCGAACAGGAUUAGAUACCCGCGUAA
rnacentral:rRNA from 1 species